rnacentral:tRNA from 1 species
AAAUAAGAAGUAAAAUUUACAUUUAGUUUCGACCUAAAACCAUGGUAUAAAAUACCCUUAUUUA